GGGUGACGAGCGGCGGACGGGUGAGUAAUGUCUGGGAAACUGCCUGAUGGAGGGGGAUAACUACUGGAAACGGUAGCUAAUACCGCAUAACGUCGCAAGACCAAAGUGGGGGACCUUCGGGCCUCAUGCCAUCAGAUGUGCCCAGAUGGGAUUAGCUAGUAGGUGGGGUAAUGGCUCACCAAGGCGACGAUGCGUAGCCGACCUGAGAGGAUGACCAGCCACACUGGAACUGAGACACGGUCCAGACUCC
rnacentral:rRNA from 1 species